rnacentral:rRNA from 1 species
CAGGGAUUGCCCUAGUAACGGCGAGUGAAGCGGCAACAGCUCAAAUUUGAAAUCUGGCUCUCGGGCCCGAGUUGUAAUUUGUAGAGGAUACUUUUGAUGCGGUGCCUUCCGAGUUCCCUGGAACGGGACGCCAUAGAGGGUGAGAGCCCCGUCUGGUUGGAUGCCAAAUCUCUGUAAAGUUCCUUCGACGAGUCGAGUAGUUUGGGAAUGCUGCUCUAAAUGGGAGGUAUAUGUCUUCUAAAGCUAAAUACCGGCCAGAGACCGAUAGCGCACAAGUAGAGUGAUCGAAAGAUGAAAAGCACUUUGAAAAGAGAGUUAAAAAGUACGUGAAAUUGUUGAAAGGGAAGCGUUUAUGACCAGACUUGGGCUUGGUUAAUCAUCUGGGGUUCUCCCCAGUGCACUUUUCCAGUCCAGGCCAGCAUCAGUUUUCCCCGGGGGAUAAAGACUUCGGGAAUGUGGCUCUCUUCGGGGAGUGUUAUAGCCCGUUGUGUAAUACCCUGGGGGGGACUGAGGUUCGCGCAUCUGCAAGGAUGCUGGCGUAAUGGUCAUCAACGACCCGUCUUGAAACACGGACCAAGGAGUCGUCUUCGUAUGCGAGUGUUCGGGUGUCAAACCCCUACGCGUAAUGAAAGUGAACGCAGGUGAGAGCUUCGGCGCAUCAUCGACCGAUCCUGAUGUUCUCGGAUGGAUUUGAGUAAGAGCAUACGGGGCCGGACCCGAAAGAAGGUGAACUAUGCCUGUAUAGGGUGAAGCCAGAGGAAACUCUGGUGGAGGCUCGCAGCGGUUCUGACGUGCAAAUCGAUCGUCAAAUAUGGGCAUGGGGGCGAAAGACUAUCGAAC